AUGUCUGAUGAAGAGAAAGCAUUGAUCAGAACAAUGAAAAAGUGCAACAUACCUACGAGGAAGAUAGUGGCAGUGUUGGCGUACAUAAGAGGAGGAAUGGACAAGUUACCAUACAACAAAAGGAAAGUGAGUAACUAUGGUACAACGGUAAGCAGAGAACCGGAAAAUAGUGAUGUCAUGGAAGUGCAGCAAUACUUCCAGAAGAAACAAGCUGAGAGCCCUGGAUUUUGCUACUCAAUGGAAGUAGAUGCAAAAAACAAGGUCAGGAGCGUGUUUUGGACAGAUGCUAGAUCUACAAUAAUGUACCAAGACAGUUCUUAG
rnacentral:rRNA from 1 species